rnacentral:lncRNA from 1 species
AAAUCCUAUCUGUGUUAGGUCACAUGGGCUGAGGUGAAUUAGGGCUGUAGGCGGAGUUCAAGCUUCUGACCUAGUGACCUUGAUUUGGAUCAAGUAUCCUGAAUGAUCCAGACCGGCCCGACACCAUCAGUAGGGUCUUUUUAGAAGAAAGAAGGGAGCAGAAGAGAGACGGGAAGUGUGGGUGCGGUGUUGCUGUUUGAAGACGAUAGGGUCACCUGGAUGAGAGUUCCCAGAACGCGCACGCGCACACAGCUUUGCUGACGCCACGGCUCUAACUUAGUGAGACUCACUUCUGCUCAUUUGACUAGGUCUACUGUAUGUUAUUUGUUGAUGGUUGGCCUCGAAUACCCAAGCUCACUACCUCAGUCUCCCAUGCGCAGAGAUUUCAAGCACAGCUUCAGGACCAUCUGUUUUCUGGUCUUUUCCUGAUAUCGUGUUUCAGAAUCCAGUUGAUGGCUUGUGCAACUCAACAAUCGCUGUGCUCCUGAGCCACAUUUACACUCCAGCUGUUAACUCCUCAUUGAACAUUUCAUAGACUUCCCCACCAGAGUCAUCUAGUCCUGGACUUCCAUCCAGGAAGUUUUGGGUCAUGACUUCUCUUAGAAAUGACCUUUCAUCUACUUGAUGGUAUCCACAAGCCCCUUAGUCUUUAUUCAGUCUCUUCAUUCUGAAUUUUAGUUUCUCAGAUUUAAUAAUGUGAAUUAUUUGAUCUUAAAAUCACUGAUUCUAGCUGAGCAUGGUGACACACCAAUCAUCCCAGCACGCUGGCAGGAAGAUCAGGUGUUCAAGGCCAGCUUAGGCUACAGAAUGAGUUGUCAGUUAACCUAUGCUCCCAUGAGACCCCGUCUUUAAAAAAAAAAAAAGCCAAGUAUAGGAUAUAUGCUUGAAAUCUCAGCACUUAGGAAACAAAAAUAUGGGGCUUGGAAGUUCAAGACCAUCCAUCCUCUGCUACAUAGGGAAUUUGAGGUCAGCCUGGGCUUUGCGAAACCC